CUAAUGCUUCCAUAAUAGUUCUGGCAUAAUUCUACACACAAGCCAUUUUUCUAAGGAGAGUCAACAUUAGAGAGGUCUUUGUUUUGUAUUCAAGAUGAUUAAAAUUAAUUAUGAACUGGGAAGUUAGUGCCUGGGGUGUCCUGGCUGGCCUUUGGAAAUCUUCACUACAUCUUUCUGGGUUGGAAUUCUCACCACAGCCUGAACGUGGGGCUGUACCUGAGCUGUCUCUGAGUGCUGUCCAUUUGAUAUAUCGAGUACUGGGUGUUUACCAGGGCUCUUCAAGCCACUGGGAGAAACAGCUAAAGAGUAACCUACUGAUUUGAGACGUGGAUUUGUGCCCCGUCCCUUUCUCCUUGUUUCCCACAGGAGUUUUAUCUCAAACUCCUAAACCAUUUUUAAGGAGAUCAAUGGAACAAACUCCAAACCUACCCUCUAAUAGUCAAGUUUACCUGAAUUUUCUCAGUUCUCUCGGGGGAAGACUAGUCACACAUUGUAGUACCAACUUGGACUCUUCAUGUGCUUUUCUUAACUGAUUAGAGCAACACCUCAGCUAAAGUGUAUAGAACAUACAUGGGGCUUCAUCAGGCUUCAGAAUCAGUUUCACUAGAUAUGCUGUGUAGGAGGCCACGGAAAAAUUACUGUAGGAGUAAAAGUCAGUUCUGAUGUAAACAAUCAUUUUGUCCCAUAUUAUAAAUAAAUUGGCCUGAAAAUAUCCUUUCAUAUGUGAGGAAUAAGUAUAUGGUGCCUUUCUCCUUUAAAGUAGGAACUGCUAAAAGACAGGGAUAACGUGUAUUCUGUAUUCCAGCACCCACAGUGUGUUUCUGGUCUUUGUACCAGGUGCUCAGGAAGUGUUUUCACUGGCUUGGGUUGACUACUUGCCAUCUGCUCUCUGAGCAUUUAUUUCUGAAUGAAAGGGGAGAAAGUGAAAGGAGAGGUGGGAAGAGGAAGCUGCAGAAAUAAGAGGAAACAGCUGGAGGAGGGAGGUGAAGCUGAGGAGGUGGGACUUACUUAAGGUCAGUAAAACAAAAAGGUAGCAGAGGGCAGGGUCAGGCCCUGGGGGUAGAGGGCUAAUUAACUUCUGUCAGCUAGUUGAAUAGAGCCUUGUGUGCUUUGUUAGAGACCAAAGAUACUUAAAAAAAUCUAGAUUCUUCCCUGUGUACCUUAAUAAUUGUUCAUCGGGUCAAAAUCUAUCCUGUCCUCUAGGAAUUCUGGUCUUCCCUCAGGCCUAGCAGAGAGCUUUCUGCCACUACUCAGGCAACCAAGGGUGAAGUGCUUCAAGUAGUAUUUGUGGACAGCAGCAGGUAAGCUUGAUGUGUUAUUCACAGCUUAAAGAGUAAAUGCUGAGUACAGCUGUUGUCCAUGUGUAGAGCUUUUAAUAAGCAGCUCAGCAGGCCCCUUCACCUGCUUUUAUGCCUGGACCAGAUGACUGAAUGUAGAACUUUAGGCACUUUUUUUUUGAGACGGAAUCUCGGUUUGUCGCUCAGGCUGGAGUGCAGUGGCACAAUCUCGGCUCACUGCAAGCUCUGCCUCCCGGGUUCACGCCAUUCUCUUGCCUCAGCCUCCCAAGUAGCUGGGACUACAGAUGCCCACCACCAUGCCCGGCUAAUUUUUAUAUUUUUUAGUAGAGACGGGGUUUCACCGUGUUAGCCAGGAUGGUCUCAAUCUCCUGACCUGGUGAUCCACCUGCCUCGGUCUCCCAAAGUGCUGGGAUUACAGAUGUGAGCCACCACAUCUGGCCCUUUAGGCACUUUCUACUUCUCAAGGUCAAGAAACAUCCUUUAAAAAGUUAAUUCCCUUUUCUGGAGCCUAAGCCAGAUCUUAUCUAGGCCUUGUGUUGCCAUCUGUUAGCAUUGAUUUCUGGAAUGGAGCAGCUUUCUCAAAGUUUGGUCUUGUUAGUCAUGAGGUCAUGUCAGUGUCUUAGGUCACUGCUGCUCACCUUCCUUACCCAGGGAGUAUACUGCAUAGGUUUCUGAACACCUGUUUUCAUUAUUCACUGUUCUUCUCACUGCCAAGAAUGGAGGGACCCUCAGUUGAAGAUCAAAUUGACUCUGAAGAAAAACUGGAGAGAGAUGUUUGUCUUGGAGUUUGGAUAGAGUAUUCACUUGAUAACAUGUUUUUGCCCUGCCUUGCUCUUUACAAGAACAUCUGGCCAGGCAUUAACAAUUAGUAAAUUUUUUUGCAUAUGAACAGUAUUUUUUUUCUGGUGAUGUAGAUGGGUACACAUGACACUAACAGCAUUGCUUAGUGUUAUCCCUCUUAACUGGUGGGAUGUAUUUGGGGUGGAGGCUAUAGCCAAUGAGAAGAGGUUCGCCUCUGUACCCGAGAAACUUUGUGUAGGAAUUUAGUUUAUUUUUUUACUUUUUCUUUUUUUUUUUUUUUUUUUUUACUAUUUUUACUAUUAGCACAAUGCUAUAAUUGAGCUAAUCUUUGUGGUUUGGUGCAGGACCACCAAGUUUGUGUGACCCAUUACCUACUUUUUCCAUGCUCAGCUAUUACCCUGUCCUGGGGCAUCUGAGGGCAGUAAGGAACAGGUGUCCAAAGGAGGAAUGUUGGUGCCUAUGAGUAUGUUUUCCAGUUGUAUUGAAUUUCUUACUUGGUGUAUUUUCGACUUGUCUUAGUUUCUUUCCUUGUGGUCUAUGCUAUUUUACUUGGGAUUUGUUGGAUAUUCUCCCUGUUAUUAAAUAGUUGUAAAAUGGAAGUUAGUUUUUCUAUGCAAAUGCUUUAAUGGAUGAAGCUGAUAGGUUUAGCAUUGAUUUUUGCCAGUGUCCUUCAACGAGCAUGAAGGUGAUAAAUGUGUUUCCAUGGCUUUAGACUCAUUUUUGAAGUCUUGGAUUGUGUGAACAUUCUUAGAAACAAUAAAAUGUUUUAAUUAAAAGCCCUCGACUACCAGUUGAAUUCAGUGUCUACUAGGAAAAUGGGUAGAUUUGUUACAUUGUCCCUUUGCUCUCUAUGACUUUGUUCCAGUUGUCAAGGAACUUAAAUGGGUAUUCAGGAAAAAGAAUUCUUGUUUCCCUUUCCUCACCUUGCCAGUUAAAUAACUCCUGGUGACACUUCAGGUGGUAGAAUUGAAACACAAACCUGACUUCUGACCACAUGGGUCAAAGGCAAAAGGCAAAUGGCUUCAAAGCCCUUAGUGUGCUUAUCCAGUUCAGGCAGUGAGGAGAUAACUUCUGCUUUCCUCCCUGAGGAGUUUGGAGUAUUUAAGGGGGGAUGGGGGGGUGUCACUUUGAAAAUAUGUUGCUUUUUCUCCUGAUUGUAUUGAGGCUGAUAUGGAAGGGUUAUUUCUUUCUGGCCAAUACUUUUUGGUAUUUCUAAAUAUUGCAAUCUUGAUUUUUACUAUUAAAUUUGUUAAUUGUCAGUUCUGGCUUUUUUGCAUAAAGAGUUGGUCCAUUAACUUGCCAAUUUGAAGCUUCUAACUAGAGAUAUUCCCUACUGAAAGUUUUGGAUUUGUUUUUAGUUUGUGGAGCAGUCUUAGCUGGGGACAGGUAAUUGACAACGACAGAGAUACUUUCUUUUCCUAGGAUUCUAAGUCUAUAAUCCACAUCCUCAAUGUAUUCACAGGACUUUAAAAUUCUCUCCAAACGAGGAAGGAAAUAUCCUGUUGCUUUCUAAUGUUUACUAAAAGUUGUGUUUAGAACAACAGAUUUUAAUAGGCAUCUUCCUUUGUUAUGUGUCAUUAGCCCUUUGCCCGUUUACCUUAGGGCUCUUUGAAGGAGAAAUGGAUGGGAGAAAACCUGUCACUUGGCGAAAGUGAAAGGAAUAAUUAACUGGCUCAGAGCUUAUGUGCAGAGUUCCCAGCCCCAAAGUUAAUCUAGAACCACUCGAUAACACCAAUAAAAAUAUUUAUUUCACAUCUGUUAUAUUUCUGGAAAAUGUUCUAAGCAUCUUACAUAUAUUUCUCAUUAAAUCCACAGGUGACCAUUGUGAGGUAGAUAUUUUGUUCUAAUUUCCAGAUGAGGAAGCUGAGACCCUAAAAGGCUGACCGGUUUCCUGAUGUGUUACCUGCUUCUGCUACUGAUCCAAACUGCAGAACUUCUCAUUCAUCCCCAAGGCCUCCAGGCAGUAUCCAAUGGGGAAUCAGCUCUAAAAGGAACCAGACCAACGUUUUCCAGCCCCUUCAUUCUGGUGACUGAGGGGAGGAAAGAAUGGGAGGGGGUAUUCUUGUCUAGUGGAUGGAAAGGAAACACACUGUCAAAUUACUGUAUCUCCUUGGUUUUCUAUUACAGUAGAAUUCUCCAGCCAUAUUUUUAUUGUCUAUGGGGGAAGUUGGAGAUGGUGACCUUGAUUACAAGUGUCUGGAGGGGGAUAAAUGGAGGGGAUAAGAUUCACUUGGUUUUGGAAAACGUUAAAGUCUUAAAAUGCGUCCAUCUGAAGAAUUUUUUCUAAAACCAGAGUUUAUAAAAAUAUCACUGAUACAGCCUGCCCCCUCAUUUCCCUGCCACAGGAGAUGUCUUGGACUAGAGACACUUGUUUAAUAAUAGCUUGUCUCUGAUAUUCCCAGUAGCUUCCCUCUGUGUGAGGAGAGGAUAGAAAUGUUCAGGACAUCAUCAUACAGGCUCCUCAUCUACAAAGUUCCAGUAGCAGUGACGCCUACACGGAAGACUUGGAACUGCAAACAGAGGCUGGGGUCACCUCAGUGACAUCUGACGCUGUCCAACCAGAAGUUCGAUUUUUGUUCUGGGGGUGAAGGAGGAAACAGACUGUACUAAAGGACUAAAAUAAUUUCUUGUCU
rnacentral:lncRNA from 1 species